CUUCCACUCAGAGCUCUAGGUUCUACCAUCUGAAGCCAAUGCAGAAGAUUAAUUCUUCCAUGUGACUAACCUUCAAAUACCUGAAAGCAUCAAUGGAAGCUUUCAUUUCUUAGAGAAAAAAUGACUAUUGAUCCAGUUGACCUGUUGCUAUUCCUCUGUACAAGCCGAAUGUCUCAUUCCAAGGAGAGACAACACAUUGUGACUAUAAACAAUUUGAUGGCAAAGCCCAAUGGGUCACAGAAUUCAAACAUGGCAAGUAAAAAUUGGAUCAGAGAAAAUGUUUGCUGUUGUAUUUUAGAGAUAGAUGGGACCUUCAGCAUUAUACAGUGUGUGUAGAGAAAGUAAGUAAUGUGUCAGUAGGAAUGUAGGUCUUUGUGUUGCUUAUAUAUGCUCUGAGGCAGCUAUCCUACUGACAGGGAUGAGUUGAAAGAAAAUUGAGGGAAUUGAGAGGAUUAAGUUAGCAAGUAGUUAAUUGUAGGAAUUGGGUGAACCAUAACUACUUCCAUCUUGUAACUCAGUUCUGGAGUUAAGUUCCUUUUCUAUUCAAUUAUGGUCCAAAUUCUAUCCUGUGAGAAAAGUUUAUACAAUUGC
rnacentral:lncRNA from 1 species